AUCAAAAUUUAAGUUAAAAAUAUUUGGAAAAAAUGUGAAAAAUUCAAGUCUUUGUAAAAUUUUCAAUACGUUUCGCACAAAAUAUUGGAGUCAAAAUUCAUAUAAAAGUCAUACGUUAAGUGGAUUUUUAUGGAAGGAACGUAAGGGUUUCCAUUCUUAAAUUUGGCUGCUGUACUGAAGUACAAACAUUUUUCAUAUAAGUAAGGAUUACUUGAAAUAGCUUCAGUGAUGGAGAAAAUAGCGAAUAAAGAAAUAAUAACGCGUCAAACAAAGCAAAAAAAAUAAAAAUGAGAAAAUCAAUUAAAUUCUUAGAAAUAUAAUGAGCAGAGUCUGUGUCGAUGUCGAUUUUUUCGUAGAUAACCUCACUGCUGAUUUUGCAUGAUUGUUGGGAAUAUAAAUAAACUAUUUUAUUAAAAUUUUUUAUUUUAUAAGAUUAUAUAAAAUUAUAAUACAGAAAAGGAAAGAGGAAUAUAUAUAAAAUAUAUUCAAUGCGCAUGAAGAGGCGGGAUCACGUUGAUAAAAAUAUAUCUAAAAGUAAACUUGUAAACCUCACCAAUUCAACAUUAUUUUUUAAAGAAAAUUGGAUAAUCACUAAUUUGAGAAACUAAAAUCGAAAAUCGAAAAUCGAAAAUCGAAAUAUAUUGCAAAUAUACACUGAGAGAUAUUAUUGUGUUUAUUAAACUUUAUUUAACUCUACUCUAUUGGAUAAAUGGAUGGUGUCCCUCCACCCCUCUACCCCUGCACCCCUCCACCCCACCACUGCAUUUCGGGAUACAUAUAUAAAAGAAACUUAAUACAAUAAUAUGGAUGCAGCUGUAUUUUUUACUAUACGGCAAAGUAAGUUCUGCAAAAAUUAAUUGGAUGCUACAAAUACUGAAAAGACAACGGUCCGUCAAAUUUCUAUACUUAACAUAUAAAUUAUUGGUAUGAUGUGUUUCAAGAGAAUUUGGAAUUUACACUGAGUGUUGUGUGAGAUUUAUGUUAAAUGAAAAAUGUAAAAUGUUAAUGUUAAAUGUAAAUGUUAAAUAAGAUUCACAAGUAAAUCUUAAUGAACGAAACGGGAGCAUUGAAUCCUGAAACCCCAAGAAAUCAGAAAUCGUACAAUCCUGUAAUAAUGGACUAAUAUUACUAACUAGUACAACUGCAAAUUAUAAUAUAAAAUAAAAUAUACCUUAUAUAAUAAAUACUUUCGCAAUUCACAACGGAAAGGAUUUAUAUAAUACCAUUUCAUUUUGAAUUUGAAAUAUUCAAACAUCAUCAGUUUGAGUACUGUUUCAAUUAAUAAGUUUAUAUAAUAUUUGUUAGAAUUAAUUGUUGCUUUUGAACUUUUAACCAUAACCAUUAUGGUAAUUCAAUCAACCAUCAUGUAUCAAUUUUGGGUGUGUGAGCCAUAAAAUAGUACUUCCUGUGAGUGUGGAAACGAUAAUAUGUGGAUGUGUAUCUGAUAUAAAUGGUGUUGUCCUUGUUCAAUAAGAAGCCUGAUAAUUAUACAUACAAAUUACAUGAAUGAAGAUUAGCAGAUCUAUUUGGACAUUUGGACAGCUUAAAGAUGACGAUGCGAAAUGACAAAUAUCUGACCAAAUCUAAAUGAAUGUUUUGGAACAAAUGUGACUAGUGAUUACAACUGGUAUAAAACUGUGCUUGUAUGAUGCGGCAUCGAUUUUUUGACUAGGUGGACAAGUAUUAUACACCUGGAAUUUCGCAGACAUUCCUAUAUUUUUGCAAAUAUAGUGUACAUCAUUCGUGAAAAUUGAAGGAUUAAACAAAUCUAAUUAAGUAUACAUUUUUAUACAGAGGUGUUAAACCAAUUCAAGACCUUGGAGUAUGUUUAAAUUCGGUGGAAUCGAAAGUGUAAACAUACAUAUUCCUAAACAUGUCGAAAAACGUGUGUAGCCAUAAACUGAUGCCAUAGUCAUAGCUGAUGGCAUCAAUGUAAAAAUAUUAACAGAAUGCAAAAAAUACACAUUAUGCUUGAAAACUAAA